AAUAGACUAGAGUAGUAAAAGAUCUAUAUUUUUUCAGAGAGCUAGUGGUGCUGUAAACUAGUAAAAUAUAACUUUGAACUUGCUAGAUAAAUAUCUAUUUAGCCGUAGUUGGCAUAAAGACUAACUAAGAGAGUCUAUUAUUAGACUAAUUAGGGUGGUACCGCGAGAAAAUAUAAUCCUCGUCCCUAAA
rnacentral:ncRNA from 1 species